rnacentral:lncRNA from 1 species
GUUAUUGGUGGACACGCUUGGAGGCUUGACUUCGCUUCAAUCUGUCGAAUAAUAACAAGACAUUUUGAUAUCAUUCUGAAGACGAAGACCAGCAGUGAUAUUAAAUCUUCUAGUAUUGAAUACAUACAGUCAACAAUUCAAGGUACAAUGCAAAAUCUAUAGAUGAUUUAGAUUCAGUCAAGAUUAAAUGUGUUUUUAAUCAAAACAUAAUUUUAAAAACUCAAUAUCAGAAUUAGUAUUUAUUUUAUCAGUACAUUUAUUACUAUCACUGAUAAUACUAACAACUGGAACAAAGAUUGUCGUAGUUUUAUAUAUAUCUUAAUUCACAUAUAGUCUGAAGCAAAGAUGGCUUGUAUCAGUCUAUAUUUAUCCAGCCUAUAUAUAUAGAGAGAGAAUAGAAUAUAUAGUUUUAGAAUUGUUUCUUUGACAUUAAUUAUGCAAUGAUUAUUUUACUGAUGCAAUUGUCACCAGACAUACAUAUUUCAUGCCCUGGCAUUGAAUCAUGUGUAGUUUUGCCAAAACAAAAGACAAAACAAAUUCGAUAAUGAAUCGAUGUUUGUAAAAAGUGUACUGAAGGGACUCUAUAUUACAUAAUAAAAGUAAUUUUAAGUGAAAUACCCAGAAACAUGGUAUAUAUAGAGCCCAAUGGUAGGACUCCCAAUUGGCAAUGUAAAGCAGUCAAUAUAAUUUUCUGUAAGGUGGUAUUAUUAUAUAUAAAUAGCUAUAGUAAAGUGUAUUCUUUUUCUGGAUUGGUUAAUCCUAUUAUAAUCCUUUUUCUGGAUUGGUUAAGCUUAUAUAGUAUGCUAAAUUUUCUAUAACUAGCAUCCAUGUUGACCAUUCAUGCAAGCUAAGUAAUAGCAUGUUAACCGGCUAUAUAGUAAAUACCAAAUAUAUGCCUUUGCCAGCCGGUCAUGCAUGUAGAGUAAAAAUACCGCCGGAAACGAUAUUUUCCUUGACAUAUAUAUAUUAAACGAAAAUAUGGAUUAAAUGCUUUAAGGUGUUGCAGUAAACUGAGGCACCAAUAUUAUGAACUUGGUUUCCACUGGCUGUACAUGAGUCCAAUAAUGCAAUAUUUCGAAGUAUUAUUGUAUUAUAGAUAACGUUAAUGUAUAAAGUCGAGACCUAAUAUUUUGGAAUAUUAGGCAAAGAUGAAUCCAAUAUAGGUGUUUUAUGAAACAUAACAAUUUCAUGGCCAGAAAUCAUGGACAUGAUUUACUUUACUUCCUUCGUAAUUUGCAUAUCACGUUGAAAUAUGGCUUCUGCAGUAAACAGUAAAUUAUAUUACGCGAUGCUCUAAAUCCCCAAAUCAGAGAAUGUGGUAGGUCGCAGUUGCAACUUGCCUCAGUCGCUGGCUAUAUAAAUCAGAGUCUGUCGAAGUAUUUAGCGUAAUGUUGACUUGAAUGAUUUUAGUUAGUGAUCAUUCUGCAUUUUCAGUAUUUGUAUACAGCUAUUUCAAUUAAGAUGUCCACGAGCAAAGCGGAAAAGUCGAAUACGAGCGCGAAAGGCUGCUGGGAAUCGCUUUGAAAAUUCAUUAAUUUGUUAGCGAUUCCCAGCAGCCUUUCGCGCUCGUAUACGACCUUUCCGCUUUGCUCGUGGACAACCUUAAUUGAAAUAGCUGUAUACAAGGGUUAGUUUGUAUGGAAUUUGUCUAUUUAACUCUAUAUAUAUAGCCACUAAAAACAAACGAAAAUGCAGAAUAGGCAGUCGUAACUUACACCAGGCAAACACUACACGAUAUAUUUCAACAGACCGCGUGUUCUACAACCAGCAAUCGCGAGGCAAAUUGCAAACGACUACCAAUAUUCUCUGAUUUUUAGAUUUAAAGCAUCUCGUAAUAUAAUUUACUGUUUCCUAUCGAAGCCAUAUAUUUCAACGGGUUAUCAGUGUAUUAAUGAUAUGCAAAGUUAGUAUAAGGAUCGAAGUAGAAUAAUCAUGUCCGUGAUUUCUGACCAUGAAAUCAAAAUUGGAGUAUAAGCAAGUAUAAAAGAACCGCAUGGAUUACGAUAUAUAGCGGCAACAAUCAUGCCGUAUGACACCUCGGAUGUGUAUUUGCAUGCAUAUACCGCCGGUAUUUCCUCUUUUUAGCCUGCAGCCUCUCGGAGUUUAAUCCCCAAACACAUGAACUUCACGAAGACAGGAGUUUUCCCGCGCGUUAUAAUUUAACAAAAACCUGAUAGAAUAAACUCGUUACUUGACCUGAAUAAAAAACAACGGCUGAGAACGUUCGAUUAAGAAAGGAAAAAGCGGCGAUAAGCUACUGUCCAAUAUCUGUCCGAAAUCGAAAUAUCGGGAUCGACCGUCACUUCGGUAAUAAAACUCUAGAUUUGUUCAUGCAGUACGAUUCAUAUUGACUCUUAUGGAUCAGUGGUUCACUGUCCACUGACGGCCAUGCAUAUACAUGUAUUAAUAUAUUCGAGGGGUAAAUUACUCUGAAAAUCUUCGUACACUUCAUCAAAAAUCAAAAAAAAUCUUUGGAAAAAUCCCAAAAUCUUACUAAAUCCCAGAAUCCCAAGAAAUCUCUAAAAAUUGCAUAAAAUACUUGGAAAAAGCCCAAUAAAAUCCUCAAAAUUAUUGCAAUAUUGAGAAAUCGCAUAAAAAAAAUACGUGAAAAUACCCUUCGUUGAUUUACUUCAUUUUAAAAAUAAUUCGACGGAUUAUAUGUCGCAAAAAAUGUCGGAAAAAGUUCGGCGAAAAAAAAUUGCCGGGAUUUUCUAAUUCAAAAAUCUUCGUACGCUUUUUUCAGAGUAAUUUACCCCUCGAAUAUAUUCAUAGACCUUCAGGAAAAUUCCAGUUAGUUCUUGAACUGUACAUGCAGUGGUAAUGCGAGGACGAAUUCUGAACAAAAGUUUCAUGUGACAACUACAUUUCAAGAGGUAGCUAAUUCGUGCUUUAUGCUAUAAACCAUAGGCGUACGAGGCGGGGGGGGGGGGUAGCCCUCAGUUUAGUCAGAAAUACUCAUUAGUCGGGCAAUCUUCUUGUGUACCUGAAAUAACUUUGGUCAAAUAAAUAAAUGUUACAACAAGUAAAUGUUAUUAAUAGUAAAAAUGCGAAGUAUUUAAAAAUAUUCAAACUAGAAUGUAUGAUUGCAUAAAGGUGACAAAAUUAUGAUGUUUGUGAUGUUACUCUGAGUGUAUAUCCACACCGGGCAAGCUUGAAACUCCGCUCCGACUGAGCUACGCGGUCAGGUCGGUUCGAGCCGUACCUACCGUGGCCAGGCAUAUUUUUCAAGCUUGCCCGGUGUGGAUACUCAGAGUAACAUCACAAACAUCAUAUUCACCUGAGUACAAAACACCGGCAACACAGAAAAAAAAAUCACGAUUAUUAGGUUGCAUUGAUGUCGAAGGAACUAGACACAGUUCCGAAAUAUCACAUACUCGAACCAACCUGACCGCGUAUGGCAUUUUAGAGGUUCUACUUUUCAAAAUUUUCCCCCGGAACCCCCUAACUGUUCUCGCGCCUUCGCCGCGAUAUAUAUAUAUAUAUAUAUAUAUAUAUAUAUAUAUAUAUAUAUAUAUAUAUAUAUAUAUAUAUAUAUAUAUAUAUAUAUAUAUAUAUAUAUACUUUUUUUUUGCCCCACCCGGUAUAUAUACUUUUUUUUUGCCCCACCCGGUAUAUAUAACUACAGACGGUACCGUUUCGGCCUUAUGGGCCUCAUCAGUGUAGUGCUGAUGAGCAGGAUGAAAGUAACUGCUAUUUACAGUUACCUUUGAUGCCUCACGAUUGUGGGACAUCAAAACCAUGCCAUGCAGAGCGCUCAAACUGCAAGCAGUGAGCGUGCAUAUCUAUACAUACAUAUCUAUAUAUGGCAUAAAUGUUUAAUUAAUUAAUUAAAGGUUUUAUUUUCCACCUUAGAAAACUGAUAUCAGGAAAACAUGCAUCUGUCGUCAAGAAUAUAUCUGAUAGUUUUGGUUCUGGCAUUGAUUGCCAUUACAUGCUGUGCUGCUGACUGUUAUGCUAUCUGUGAAACUGACUACUCGGAAUGUUUAAAAACGUUUUGCGGAAUUGAAGUGAAUUGUUUGCAAAUUUGUGAAGACGAAAACAAAGCAUGUAAAGAGAGUUGUUGAACCUGGACAAUGCUAUAUUUUUGUUCUUAAUUCACUGAUAUAUGUUAAGCAAGACUAUGUUAUAUAUGUAUGUAAGGAUGUAUUACAAUGUUAUACAUUUCAGACAAAACAUAAUUAUAUUCUACAAUAUGAUUAUUCGCCAUUCGGUAAAACUAAUUAAUUAACUGGAUGAAAGUGUGUCGAGUGUCGACUUUUACUUACAACUGAUGUAUUAGAAAACUUUGAAUGUAAGAAACUAGCAUAAAAUUAAAAGCAUAAUAAUUCCUUGGUCUCCUCUUGUGCCUCUAGUAUAAACAUAACAAUUCGUACUAUAUUUUGACUUCGUUAUACUCAAUUAGCA